UUCGACACCAUCAAGGAACCGUGUAUUAGUAACAAAGUGCUACAUUACAUGCUAAACCCAAAAGGAACAAACGACGUAAAGAAAUUUCACCACAUAUGAUCGAAAAUUUGCUUUGAAGUGGCACCAUGGAAUUUUAAAUGUUAGUAUCAUCAUCUUCACAAUUUGUCAUUAAAUAUAAUGCAAUACACAAUAUAUGCUUUACACAUUAUAAUUCAAUACACAAUGCAUAUAAUUCACGG
rnacentral:lncRNA from 1 species